rnacentral:rRNA from 1 species
AUUCCAGCUCCAAUAGCGUAUAUUAAAGUUGUUGCAGUUAAAAAGCUCGUAGUUGGAUUUCGGAAUGGGUCAGUUGGUCCGCCGCAAGGUGAGUUACUGACUGAUUUGUUCUUCUUCGCAAAGACUGCGUGUGCUCUUUACUGAGUGUACGUAGGAUUUACGACGUUUACUUUGAAAAAAUUAGAGUGUUCAAAGCAGGCUAUCGCUUGAAUACAUGAGCAUGGAAUAAUGGAAUAGGACUUUGGUUCUAUUUUGUUGGUUUCUAGGGCCGAAGUAAUGAUUAAGAGGGACAAUUGGGGGCAUCCGUAUUUCGUUGUCAGAGGUGAAAUUCUUGGAUUUACGAAAGACGAACUACUGCGAAAGCAUUUACCAAGGAUGUUUUCAUCG